rnacentral:rRNA from 1 species
UACGUAGGGUGCGAGCGUUGUCCGGAAUUAUUGGGCGUAAAGGGCUCGUAGGCGGUCUGUCACGUCGGGAGUGAAAACCCAGGGCUCAACCCUGGGCCUGCUUCCGAUACGGGCAGACUAGAGGUAUGCAGGGGAGAAUGGAAUUCCUGGUGUAGCGGUGGAAUGCGCAGAUAUCAGGAGGAACACCGGUGGCGAAGGCGGUUCUCUGGGCAUUACCUGACGCUGAGGAGCGAAAGUGUGGGGAGCGAACAGG